rnacentral:rRNA from 1 species
GGCGAACGCUGGCGGCGUGCUUAACACAUGCAAGUCGAACGGAAAGGCCCUGCUUUUGUGGGGUGCUCGAGUGGCGAACGGGUGAGUAACACGUGAGUAACCUGCCCUUGACUUUGGGAUAACUUCAGGAAACUGGGGCUAAUACCGGAUAGGAGCUCCUGCUGCAUGGUGGGGGUUGGAAAGUUUCGGCGGUUGGGGAUGGACUCGCGGCUUAUCAGCUUGUUGGUGGGGUAGUGGCUUACCAAGGCUUUGACGGGUAGCCGGCCUGAGAGGGUGACCGGCCACAUUGGGACUGAGAUACGGCCCAGACUCCUACGGGAGGCAGCAGUGGGGAAUAUUGCACAAUGGGCGGAAGCCUGAUGCAGCAACGCCGCGUGCGGGAUGACGGCCUUCGGGUUGUAAACCGCUUUCGCCUGUGACGAAGCGUGAGUGACGGUAAUGGGUAAAGAAGCACCGGCUAACUACGUGCCAGCAGCCGCGGUGAUACGUAGGGUGCGAGCGUUGUCCGGAUUUAUUGGGCGUAAAGGGCUCGUAGGUGGUUGAUCGCGUCGGAAGUGUAAUCUUGGGGCUUAACCCUGAGCGUGCUUUCGAUACGGGUUGACUUGAGGAAGGUAGGGGAGAAUGGAAUUCCUGGUGGAGCGGUGGAAUGCGCAGAUAUCAGGAGGAACACCAGUGGCGAAGGCGGUUCUCUGGGCCUUUCCUGACGCUGAGGAGCGAAAGCGUGGGGAGCGAACAGGCUUAGAUACCCUGGUAGUCCACGCUGUAAACGGUGGGUACUAGGUGUGGGGUCCAUUCCACGGGUUCCGUGCCGUAGCUAACGCUUUAAGUACCCCGCCUGGGGAGUACGGCCGCAAGGCUAAAACUCAAAGGAAUUGACGGGGCCCCGCACAAGCGGCGGAGCAUGCGGAUUAAUUCGAUGCAACGCGUAGAACCUUACCUGGGUUUGACAUGGAUCGGGAGCGCUCAGAGAUGGGUGUGCCUCUUUUGGGGUCGGUUCACAGGUGGUGCAUGGCUGUCGUCAGCUCGUGUCGUGGGAUGUUGGGUUAAGUCCCGCAACGAGCGCAACCCUUGUUCACUGUUGCCAGCACGUUAUGGUGGGGACUCAGUGGAGACCGCCGGGGUCAACUCGGAGGAAGGUGGGGAUGACGUCAAGUCAUCAUGCCCCUUAUGUCCAGGGCUUCACGCAUGCUACAAUGGCUGGUACAGAGAGUGGCGAGCCUGUGAGGGUGAGCGAAUCUCGGAAAGCCGGUCUCAGUUCGGAUUGGGGUCUGCAACUCGACCUCAUGAAGUCGGAGUCGCUAGUAAUCGCAGAUCAGCAACGCUGCGGUGAAUACGUUCCCGGG